rnacentral:rRNA from 1 species
AGUCGAACGGAAAGGCCUCUUCGGAGGUACUCGAGUGGCGAACGGGUGAGUAACACGUGGGCCAUCUGCCNUGCACUUCGGGAUAAGCCUGGGAAACUGGGUCUAAUACCGGAUAGGACCUCAAGACGCAUGUCUUCUGGUGGAAAGCUUUUGCGGUGUGGGAUGGGCCCGCG